UACGUAGGGGGCGAGCGUUGUCCGAAGUUACUGGGCGUAAAGCGCGCGUAGGCGGGGGGUUAAGUGAGAGGUGAAAGGCUGGGGCUCAACCUCAUGCAGUGCCUCUCAUACUGGCCUUCUUGAGGGCGGUAGGGAGAAGUGGAAUGGCUGGUGUAGCGGUGAAAUGCGUAGAUAUCAGUCGGAACACCGGUGGCGAAGGCGGCUUCUUGGGCCGUUCCUGACGCUGAUGCGCGAAAGCUGGGGGAGCAAACGGG
rnacentral:rRNA from 1 species